rnacentral:rRNA from 1 species
UACGUAGGGCGCAAGCGUUGUCCGGAAUUAUUGGGCGUAAAGAGCUCGUAGGCGGCCUGUCACGUCGGGUGUGAAAGCCCCCGGCUCAACUGGGGAGGGUCAUUCGAUACUGAUCGACUGGAAGGCAGGAGAGGGAAGCGGAAUUCCCGGUGUAGUGGUGAAAUGCGUAGAUAUCGGGAGGAACACCAGUGGCGAAGGCGGCUUCCUGGCCUGUUCUUGACGCUGAGGCGCGAAAGCUAGGGGAGCAAACGGG